GUGCACCGACACCUAUGCCUGGUAUUCAUAUUCCCUUGCUUAUGUAUAGAUUUUUUUUAUUUUUAAGAAUCAGCUGCUCCAUUAGUACCCGUUCCUGUCAACUAUGAGCUAUCCCCAAUAUCGGUGUUAGAUCUGGAUGUACAGCCGUACAGGAGUCGGAAAGGAGAUUGAGGAGGAGCAGGUGUGGAGGCUUGCUUGUUGCCAUUCUCUGCUGGAUUUUGCGGUUCCCCGGCGUCAAGAUGUAGCGGCGGCUCCGCACCAGGAACUCGACCUCCUGUUUUUGCGGCCACCGCUAUUCCUGAGCUCUGCCAGCUUCAUCCCUCCGUGGUACAAUGACUUCUGCCGUCAGCUCUACUCCAACCGCGAUUCACAGACGGAGGACCACGGUCCUGAUGCGCAUGUGGUUGCGGCUCUCGUUGACCUCACAAAGAUUGACGAAGCCGCUGUGCAGGCUGCCCAGCAUGGUGUUGAGGUUGCCGAUUGAGCUAAUGCCAUCCUGGACAAUCAUGGCGCCGACCUGGAUAAAGAUGCCACCCACGGUGAUUCUCAGAUCUUGGUCUUGGAAGCUCAUUAAUGUAUGUCAUUGGAAAAUGACGUAACCAUGUUUUCUGCUGACUCAUUGAUUAACUGUUGAGCAUCUUUAUCAAAAAGAAAGCAAGAUGCAGAUGUUGUUGGAUCACUUAUUUUAAGCUUGACAUUAUGUCUGCAAAUUAUGUAAGUAAUUAAUUAUAAAAAAUCUCUUUCAAAAUUACUAAGAUGGUAUUUAUUAAUUGAGCUCUUUUACCUUGCUUUGGCUCCAGCUUUUCUAUCACAUUUGCUGCAGUAGUAGUGAUCAAUUUCCUUCUCAAGUUGCUUCUUGCAGUUAUCUUUGCUACAUGAUAUGUAGUACCAGCUAUCUUGUAUUAACUUCAUCAGUUACUGCUCCAUAAUAAAUAUUCUUCCCUGCAUAAAUAUAUGUACAUUAUUGAGUGAAUGCACGAUUAUUAAUCGAUUGCAAACCUGAUUUAAUGAUUUAAAUAUAAUAUCAUUGAACUCUUGUAAAGUUUUUCUAUUAUAGCUCAUUUGAUCUUCCAUUGUCCAUUUUAGAUGCCCUUCCUCAAUAUGGAAUUCUUUGGUACUAUUUUCCUUGGAACAGAUGAUGAGAAAAUUCAUCAUGGAAGUGAUAUUUUUUUAAAUGAAAACAUAGGUACUGGAAUUUCAUUACCUGUUCUGUACAUCCAUAGUCUCGGUAAUAGGCAAAUUAAUAUACACUUGAGUUGCACUAUUUGAGGAUAGAGAAUAUCCUGCAUAUUGGUUUAUAUAAUAACUAUGUUUAUAUGCAAUACCAAGCCAUGAGAUGACAAAAUGAGCAAAGAAAUUUAAGAUAAAACAUACUUCCAUAUUUCCUGAUAGUUGUAGAUGUAAUUAUCGCCUGUUGAGUUGGCAUCAAUUAGUUCAGAUUUAGCAGCCCAUAAUGUAACUUUGAAUUCUUGAUCUCUGUUAACAAAAAGUAAAAUAAUUGUGAAGACAUAACUUGAGCAUCUAGGUUGCAAAUAUGACAUUAUUUUUCACAUACUCCACCAGAAGUAGAAUAUCACAGAUUUUGUAGAUUCCAAAAGAUGUUUUACUUUCUUCAAUUGGUCAUAUGUGUGCUGUAACUCCUAUAAAAACCUGUUAAAACAUGAAUUUAGAUGACAUAUGCCACAAAAAAGAAGAUAGUUUCUUAAAAAAAACUUGUAAUAUCGUACCUGAGAGAUAAAUAUUAACACCUACUCUUGUAGAAAGCACCGCUAUGCUUCAAAAGUUGAAACCAUGCUUUGAGAUGUCUUCUUUAUCUUGGAUCUCCUCCAUAUUGGUUGUAGGCGAGAAGUUGAUUAUUAUGUCAUUUUCUACUGGUCAAAAUUUAGGUGAUGCGGGCAUGACCCUCACGUUUGUAAUGGUAUACACACUGACUUCUAGAAUUAAUGGUCUGAACUUCGCAGUGUAAGCCUUACUGAUAACUCCAUGCAUCAUUGUCCGCUGGUGUAUUUGUAAUUAGCAUGGAGAUUGAAACAAUAUCAUUGGAAAUAAUUCAGGCAAAUAUGUAGUUGCAAUAAGAGAACCCUUGUACCUCUUGAUCAAUAAGGAUUAUAUCAAGACUCUCUAAUUCACAAUUACUAAUCAAUAUUGAAUCACAUAGUCUUGGUACUCUUGCCUUGACUGUUACUUCCUUUCCUCUAUUGGUAGCUUGAAUCUAACGCAAGGCUUUGCAUGUCAUUGAAGAUUUCACCAUUGAACUGAAACAUCAAAUAGAUAUGAAUACUUGAUUGCUUAUUCCUUUCGUAUUGUUACAUGAUAGGUUUUGUAUCCAAACCUGGUUGAGUGCAAUCACGUUUGUGCCGACGGGAUGUCGGGAAGACUGCCGGAUGCUUGAGGCCAUGAGAUGUUUGUGCCGACGGGAUGCCAGCAAGACGGCCGGAUGCUUGAGGCCAUGAGAUGCUGGUGCAGCCGGCACGACGUGAUGCCUUGACGAAGAUGCAAAAACCAAUGGAUAUCGGCAAGACAGCCUGAUGCUUGAGGCGAUGGGAUGUCGGCAAGUUGGCAGGCGCUGCUGCAGCCGGCACAUCGUGAUUUCCUGAAGAAGAUGCAACAACCAACGGAGAAAGGAUUUAGAGAUUUUGUUAUUUUGAUCGGCAAGAAAACUGGCAUUAUAUAGAGUAUAUAUCUGUAGAGAUGCAUGUCUUUUGAAUUUUAAUUGCCGAGGAGGCAUAUUCCUAUGGAGACACGAUACGUGGAGGUUAAUUCCGCGAGUCAGCACAUACAAAUUUAAACGAA